GGAAGUGGAGAGGGUCCUCCAAGAUGCCUAGAGAGGCUGCGAGGGAUGCAACCAAUCAGGAAAGAGGCUGCAGGGAGCAUCCAGUCAGGGCCCAACAGGCUUGUAUAAAAAGAGCUGCAGGGCCAGCAUGAGUUUGGUCUACUGGUAGGGACUGUGGGACUAACAGGUGCUCCUGGCUGGCUGCAGGGGCUGAAAGGGCUGGACAGAGCAGUUGCUGGCAAAGGACCAGGGAGCUUGCUGGAGGGUUGCGUCACCGAAGACCCGUCUGACAAGCACAGAAGCUGACAGGGGCACCGUGAGUGGAGGAAAAAACUGCAGGCAUGCACACACUUCACCAGGAGGUGUUCAUGAGAGAAAAUAUUUACCAUGCGUCCUCGCUCCUCGGCGCUCCUACCUACAUGCGGGCCGCAACUGUCAAAGGGACGUUCGGAGCCCAACACCAACUGGCUUUCUUAGGUUCUUGGAAAACCCUACUCCAGAGUGACAGGCUCCUUCAAGUUCCAGCUGCGGGGCCGAGACGUUCCAAUCCAUUGAGGCCCACGGGGACAGGGCGUGUUAUUGUGUCAGCAGCACACGCAGAUGAAGACGAGCCUGCCUCUUUGUAGUAAGCCCUGUGGCUGCUGUACGUGAAGCGGAGAGGCAUGCUGGGAAGCAUGGGCCUGAUUCACGCUGGCUCUGGGCAAACCCUAUUGAAGAUACUCAUCAAGAAGCAAGGGAAGGAGACCUGAUCCUGAGCACCCUUAACACCUCAUAAAGCUAGGGGCGGCGAUGAGGAUGCAUGGGGCAUGGAGGCCAGACUCAAAAAAUAACCAACUCUUUGAAUGGCCCCUCCAGGAAUGGAGUGAGCAGCAGCAGGGACUGUGGGAGGGCUUGAUAUUGCCCCUGUCCAUGUGAAGCGAGAGCUUCACCCUGCAGGGCUGUAAAUCUGGCACCUUCCACUUCAUACAGUACAGACUGACGAGGGCCGCUUGACUUGCAGCAAAGCUUGUUCGUUGUACAAACCUGGGGGCAGGACACUGCAGGGUUUGUUUUACUAGGAAAUUCACGGCUUCAUUCUGUGCGGAUUCGCUGGGCUCAUUUAUGUAUUUGGCUUUACAGAAAUACUACAAAGGGUGCGUAGGUGCCCUGGGUAUAACAACACCACAUGCGUGCAGCGGUAGAGUUGAACAUAACCCAUGCCCAGUGUGUCCAGCAACUGAGCAACUCCAAGGCUUUUCCCUUGUGAGCAAUUUCUCACCUGAACAAUUCUCCCUCCCCACCAGAUUUUCAAAUGCCUAGCUUUACAACGUGCCUCAAGGAUCAUCAGAUCUGGGCUCUUUCAGACCAAAGUGGGAACAAAUUCCAAGGCUGUGGGGCCCUCGCAGCAAAUGACCAGCCAACAACCCCUUCCUGUUUGGAUGAUUUAUAAUUUCUUUAGUGGAAAAUGUUUUUCUUUUGUCUGCUCUUCAACCCCGUUUCCCCCAACUGAGCAAUCCACGCCACGGAACCCACACACCAACUCAGCUGGUAUAAACCGGAGUAACUCCACUGGCUUAAAUAGAGCUAUACCUAUUUACACCCACUGAGAAUGUAGCCCUUUUCUUGUUUGUAAUUGUGGAUGUCACUCCUGUAGCUUUUGCUUUCCGUAUAGAACUGGAGUGCAAGCAGGACAGAGAGUGGCCGUUACACAUAUCACGUGUUGUACAAACUAUUCCACUGCCCUUUGGAAGACUGUG